CCACCUUUGACAUGACAGGAAGGCUCCAGAGAUGGGGCUGUGCUCGAAAGAGAACCUGCACACAGGUGCUGCAUGGCUGUCGUCAGCUCGUGUCGUGAGAUGUUGGGUUAAGUCCCGCAACGAGCGCAACCCUUGCCAUUAGUUGCUACGAAAGGGCACUCUAAUGGGACUGCCGGUGACAAGCCGGAGGAAGGUGGGGAUGACGUCAAGUCCUCAUGGCCCUUAUAGGUGGGGCUACGCACGUCAUACAAUGGCCGGUACAAAGGGUAGCCAACCCGCGAGGGGGAGCCAAUCCCAUAAAGCCGGUCGUAGUCCGGAUCGCAGUCUGCAACUCGACUGCGUGAAGUCGAAAUCGCUAGUAAUCGUGGAUCAGCAUGUCACGGUGAAUACGUUCCC
rnacentral:rRNA from 1 species